rnacentral:rRNA from 1 species
GGCUCAGAGUGAACGCUGGCGGCAGGCCUAACACAUGCAAGUCGAACGGUAGCACAGAGGAGCUUGCUCCUUGGGUGACGAGUGGCGGACGGGUGAGGAAUACAUCGGAAUCUACCCUGUCGUGGGGGAUAACGUAGCGAAAGUUACGCUAAUACCGCAUACGAUCUACGGAUGAAAGCGGGGGAUCGCAAGACCUCGCGCGAUUGGAGCGGCCGAUAUCAGAUUAGGUAGUUGGUGGGGUAAAGGCUCACCAAGCCAACGAUCUGUAGCUGGUCUGAGAGGACGACCAGCCACACUGGAACUGAGACACGGUCCAGACUCCUACGGGAGGCAGCAGUGGGGAAUUUUGGACAAUGGACGCAAGUCUGAUCCAGCCAUUCCGCGUGCAGGAUGAAGGCCCUCGGGUUGUAAACUGCUUUUGUACGGAACGAAAAGGUUUCUAUUAAUACUAGGAGCUCAUGACGGUACCGUAAGAAUAAGCACCGGCUAACUACGUG